GAUGAACGCUAGCGACAGGCUUAACACAUGCAAGUCGAGGGGCAGCGGGGGUGAUGGCUUGCCAUCGCCUGCCGGCGACCGGCGCACGGGUGAGUAACACGUAUGCAACCUGCCCGCCACAGGGGGAUAAGCGGAAGAAAUUCCGUCUAAUACCGCGUGACGCGGCGCCGGGGCAUCCCGGUGCCGCCAAAGGGAUUACCGGUGGCGGAUGGGCAUGCGGCGCAUUAGCUAGUCGGCGGGGUAACGGCCCACCGAGGCGACGAUGCGUAGGGGUUCUGAGAGGAAGGUCCGCCACACUGGUACUGAGACACGGACCAG
rnacentral:rRNA from 1 species